rnacentral:rRNA from 1 species
GACGAACGCUGGCGGCGUGCCUAAUACAUGCAAGUAGAACGCCGUUGCGAACGGGUGAGUAACGCGUAGGUAAAUGCCCCAUAGCGGGGGAUAACUAUUGGCAACGAUAGGCAAUACCGCAUACUGUGAGACGGACCUGCGUUGUAUUUGCUAGUUGGUGAGGUAAAGGCCCACCAAGGCGACGAUACAUAGCCGACCUGGGAGGGUGAUCCGCCACCAUGGGACUGGGGCACCGCCCCGACUCCUUCGGGAGGCAGCCGGAGGGAAUCUUCGGCAAUGGAGGGCAGGCUGACCGAGCAACGCCGCGUUAGUGGAGGAGGUUUUCGGAUUGUAAAGCUCUGUUGUUAGAGGAGCGUUAACUAACCAGAAAGGGACGGCUAACUCCGUGCCAGCAGCCGCGGUAAUAC